CGAAAGGCUUUGAAGGAAGGAAGUUGUCGGAAAGCUCCCAGAGAGCCGGUGGUGCUGCAAACCGGUAGCGGAACGAUGAACUUUAGCGAUCCUGAGUCACUGCGUUGAACGUUCAGUAGGCGCAGUCGGUGAACUCCGUUAUCAGUCUGUCAGCGAUGACAAAUGAGGCUGCUUCUGCGAAGGCGCAGCGAAUUAGGGUGGUACCACGAACAACUCUCGUCCCUUAC
rnacentral:ncRNA from 1 species